UUAAGGUACGUGUUAGUUCAGAAAUACCGAAACCCACCAGCUGUAUUCCGUUCGGCUAUUAUACAGGCAUUAAAACACUUCACCUUCCCGGUAUAAGUCCUUUUCGCGUAAUGUGCGAUGGUCAAACUGCAGGACCUGGCUGGACUCUCAUUCAACGAAGAAUUGAUGGUUCAGAGAAUUUUUAAAGAAUUUGGGCUGAUUACCGUAACGGUUUCGGCAAUAUGGAUAAAGAGUUUUUCCUAGGUCUAGAAAAUAUUUAUCACUUGACCAAUUAUCAGCGCUACGAGUUGUAUGCUUUCAUAGAGGCAUUUAAUGGCAGUAUCCACUGGGCUCGGUAUAAUAAUUUUUAUAUUGGUAGCGAAGUCGAAAAAUACAAACUGAAAAGUCUGGGUGAAGUGAAAGGCACUACAAACAUGUUGAGUAAACAUUUGAAUUUUGAAUUUUCAACUUACGACCGGGAAAACAGAACAAGUCGUAUGUAUUUCAUGGAGGCUAUUGGUAUACGGAGAAAUAUCAAGGAUGCAAUCCUAAUGGGCGAUAUUAUAAAAAUGCUGUUGAUAGAUCAGACGGCAUGCAUUGGCAAAAUUAUUAUUCGAAUAAAGCAAUAAGAAUGAUUAUUCGCCCUAAUAUGGGUUAAUAAUACAAUACAAAAAAACAUAUUUCAUAUGAAUCAUUUUUAACAGUCGAUUCCUAGAGAUAUGUCUGCAGUUUCUAUGAGUUUCACAAUUUUACUACUUGUUUCGAUUUUUUAAAAUAUAUUCUUAAAACUUGCCACAAAUCCUUUGUUAUGUGUGCCAAAAGGACAGUACUCUGAAAAUUUAAGUCAGUCAGGAUGAAUAGUUAUAUGCUAAAACUAUUAUUGCUUUCUUUUUUGUGAAUAA